rnacentral:tRNA from 1 species
GGCUUUAUAGUCAACUAUGAUUUUAAAUUGCAAGUUUAAAGGUAAAGAAAAUUUUUUUGGCCU